CGCCGCCGCCCGGCGACGACGAGGAGGCGCGAACGGGCCACGGGCUGCCACGGCCCCGGUCCCGCGGCUCGUUGGCGUACGACUUCCCGACACUGUCGGCGCACGACUUCCCACUGCACCCCGCCAGCGCCAGCUCCACGCAUCAGCUGGUGUACGAGCCGGGCCGGGCGGGCCGCGCCGGCUCGCGGGACAGCCUGUACGAGACGCUGACACCGCACGGCAGCGGCGGUGGUGGCGGCGGUGGCGGCGGCGCGGCCCGCCGCCACGCCUUCGAGCGCAGCCGCGACGAGCUGCUCUUUGAGAAGAGCAACAGCUGGCGAAUGGCGUUCUGAGGCGCGCGCCACGCAGGACCAAAGUCUAGUGUACUACGACAUUCACGACUUCGAUCAAGAGGAGCCGGUGCGGAGCCGCGGGCCGCCCUCGCUGGCGCUCACCGCCUACAGCGGCCGCUCCGCCAAUCACGCGCUCCGGCAGGGGCGGCACGGCCCCACGUGAUCAGCGCCUGCUGCGGGCGCGGCAGGUCACGCGUGGUCACGUGACACGCUUGCGCUCGGGCGUCGUCUUGCCUCGCCUCGACUGGUGGUAGACUCGAGUCCGCAGCCUCCGGAAAGAGAGGUGCCAAUCAAAUGAGGUGUGCGCGCCGGGCGAGAUGGAGGUCGCGCCUGCCGGCGCCGCACGGCUUGACCAGGAGCAACCUGAGGCGGUGGAAGGCGCUUUUUGACCAGGUAUUGCGCCUGUCUGUGAAACCUAAUCUGCGGUGCGCUAUUGUGUUACUGUGUUACUGGCGAACUCUUGGGAGUGUCAGCUGGUGCGUGUUUCAGAUCAUGUCCUACUGUAAUUGACAGCGAUGUGCACCGAUCGCGAGUGUGUCGUCAUAACAGUCAUGCGUCGCGCCGUGUCCGUGUUAUGUGAUUGUAUUGUAUAGCUGACCAGUGACCAUGCAUCUCAGAUAUCAAUAUACAUGGCGAAGAGG